CAUGCUUGUUUUCUUCCUUUUAACACCCAACAACUUUUGCCAAAUGAGACUUAAGUACAUUAAUCACAUCAUACUCUUUCCCAAGCUGUCUCUGCUCACUAGAGUUUGAGUCUGUCGGUGAUUCUCCUAUAUAGAAGGCAUAGCUGAUACAAAUUCAAGACAGGAAAAGGCAAGGUGGAGAAAUCAAGACCCCAACAGAGGGCUGACCAGGUUACUCAGCAAUGCUGUGGCAGAAACACACAAAAGAGUCCGUGGCUUGUGAUUCACAGGCCAAGACGCUGCCUUGGCGCAGCACUCCCCGUGUUGACGUGGAAGGUGGUGAUGGCAGUGAGCAAAAAAGUGAUCCAUGCACAGAUGCAUUUGUGAACGCCGGAUGAAACAAAGUUAAAAUAGGACCCAGCGGAUGAAGUGGACUGAAACACUGAAUCUGAAACAUUGAUGAUCACUACAGCAAAGGGAAGAGCUCGGUAAAUUGUGCAUAUCGUUCUUAGAUCUUCCACCCAAAAGUAACACUUCCACUUACAUGUAUUGGCCACGGUAAGUCAUGUGGUUGUGCCUAACUUCAAAGAAUGUAAGGACAUACAAUCCUACCAUGUACUGGAAGGAAAUCCAGAAGAUU
rnacentral:lncRNA from 1 species